AAGAUUAUACUUUCAGGGAUCAUUUCUUUAGUUUCUGGCUUGAGGAAUGUGUUUCUAACAAGUGUGGUCUCGCUACCCAUGUUGAUGAGGGAAGGUGUUUUCUUCAGAGCAGGAGACCAGUGAGGAAACCUGGGCCCUCAUUUAUCAACCGUGCGUACGCACAGAUCUGUGCGUAAAGCGUGCGUACGAGCAUUCCCACGCAAAGUAUGGU